AGGAGGACAGUUUUUGUUGCCUUCAGAAUUUCCUCAACAGAUCUUCCCGUACCAAUGUACUCUGAAAUAACCUCCCACCUUCGACAUGUUCCUUUGGGAUAUUUCUGCAUUCCUUUUCUCAGAAGCUCAAUUUCUUCUUUCCCCCAAGGUUUCUCUUUCUUUUCCAAGCUGCUUAAUGGAACACUUCCAUCCGAUACAGCAGAGCCAUUCUGUUGUACAUUUUUCUUCUCGUCUUGGAUAUUGCUCUCAGAAUCAUGACUAGAUCCACCUGCAUCUCUGAGCACUUUUGCUUGCUCUAGCAAGUUUUUACCCUCCAUCUCAUCACAUAUAUUCCUCAGCUGCUCAAUAUCCAAUGACAAACAAAGAUUUUC
rnacentral:misc_RNA from 1 species